rnacentral:rRNA from 1 species
UACAGAGGGGGCGAGCGUUGUUCGGAAUACUGGGCGUAAAGGGCGCGUAGGCGGCCUUCUAAGUCGAACGUGAAAUCCCCGGGCUCAACCCGGGAACUGCGUCCGAUACUGGGAGGCUUGAAUCCGGGAGAGGGAUGUGGAAUUCCAGGUGUAGCGGUGAAAUGCGUGAGAUAUCUGGAGGAACACCGGUGGCGAAGGCGGCAUCC